rnacentral:rRNA from 1 species
UACGUAGGGGGCAAGCGUUGUCCGGAAUCAUUGGGCGUAAAGCGCGUGUAGGCGGCCAGAAAAGUCCGCUGUGAAAACUCGGAGCUCAACUCCGAGCCUGCGUUCGAUACUGGACGGCUAGAGUCUGGUAGGGGGACCUGGAAUUCCUGGUGUAGCGGUGGAAUGCGCAGAUAUCAGGAGGAACACCGGUGGCGAAGGCGGGGUCCUGGGCCAGUACUGACGCUGAGGAGCGAAAGCGUGGGGAGCAAACAGG